UCAGACGAUGCGUCAUGCAUAUCAAUAAGCGGAGGAAAAGAAACUAACAAGGAUUCCCCUAGUAACGGCGAGUGAAGCGGGAAGAGCUCAAAUUUGAAAUCUUAAAGGGUUUCCCUUUACGAAUUGUAGUUUAAAGAAGUGUUUUCUGUUGAGGUUUUGGUAAAAGUUCUUUGGAAUAGGACAUCAUAGAGGGUGAGAAUCCCGUAUUUGACCUUUACUUUCAACUUUGUGAUACACUUUCAAAGAGUCGGAUUGUUUGGGAAUGCAGUCCAAAAUGGGUGGUAAAUUUCAUCUAAAGCUAAAUAUUGGCGAGAGACCGAUAGCGAACAAGUACCGUGAGGGAAAGAUGAAAAGAACUUUGAAAAGAGAGUUAAACAGUACGUGAAAUUGUCAAAAGGGAAGCGUUUGACACCAGUGUUGUUUUUUCUGAAAAUCAAUUAAAGAACUGUUUAUGCUAAGUUGUUUAGACUUUAUCAGCUAUCUGUUUAGUUUUGAGCUUUUCUUUAAUGCACUUUUCAGUUAACAAGUCAACAUCAAUUUCUUUUGCUGUAAAAAAGCUUGAGGAAGGUGGCUUGAGAUUCGUCUUAAGUGUUUAUAGCCUCUUGCCUAUGCAGUCGGAGAGAUUGAGGUCUGCAGCGUAGAUCCUUCGGGGCUAAAUGCAUUUGUGCUAAGUUAUAGCAUUUCAUAGACAACUUGUUGACUAUGAUUUGUCUUGUAGCUUACUCGCUUAUGUUAUUUUACCUACGCUUAGGAUGUUGAAUCUGUGCGAGACUAC
rnacentral:rRNA from 1 species